rnacentral:rRNA from 1 species
CCUACGGGAGGCAGCAGUGGGGAAUUUUCCGCAAUGGGCGAAAGCCUGACGGAGCGACGCUGCGUGAAGGAUGACGGCCUGAGGGUUGUAAACUUCUUUUCUCGAAGAAGAAUCAAUGACGGUAUUCGAGGAAUAAGCAUCGGCUAACUCUGUGCCAGCAGCCGCGGUAAGACAGAGGAUGCAAGUGUUAUUCGGAUUGAUUGGGCGUAAAGCGUCUGUAGGCGGUUUAGAAAGUCUUUUGUGAAAUACUUCAGCUCAACUGGGGACCCGCAAAAGAAACUUCUAGACUUGAGGGGAGUAGAGGUACAGGGAAUUUCCGGUGGAGCGGUGAAAUGCGUAGAUAUCGGAAGGAACACCAAUAUGGCGAAGGCACUGUACUGGGCUUUACCUGACGCUAAGAGACGAAAGCUAAAGGAGUGAUUAGGAUUAGAUACCCUAGUAAUUUUAGCCGUAAACGAUGGAAACUCACUGCCGAGCCGGUAUUCGGAGCGGUGGUCAAGCUAACGCGUGAAGUUUCCCGCCUGGGGAUUACGCUUGCAAAUGUGAAACUCAAAGGAAUUGACGGA